rnacentral:rRNA from 1 species
GACGAACCAUGCAAACGUUGUUCGGAAUCACUGGGCUUAAAGGGCGCGUAGGCGGGCUGUCCAGUCUGGGGUGAAAUCCCGCGGCUCAACCGUGGAACUGCCUUAGAUACUGACGGCCUCGAGGGAGAUAGGGGCAUGCGGAACUGUAGGUGGAGCGGUGAAAUGCGUUGAUAUCUACAGGAACUCCGGUGGCGAAGGCGGCGUGCUGGAUCUCUUCUGACGCUGAGGCGCGAAAGCUAGGGGAGCAAACGGG